AGGUGCGUUCUAGGUCUCUGAAAGUGAGGGAGAUGCAAACUAGAUCGCCGCUGCAGGGUUCCUGGUGUGCAGCGAUCUAGGGCAUGGUGUUUGCUGCCCUUGGAGAGUCCAGAUCAUAGUGGGCUCUUGUAGAGGACUUUGUCGCAGGUCUCCUCCACGUAGAGCAUCGGCGAUUUUCAACACAUCCGUAUAGACCCGAUAUAGCUGCCAACAUAGGUCUGGGGUAUGAUAUCAGCACAGGCGAAUAUAAGGCGGUCCGACUUGCCCAGCCUACAUGUUUCUCUGCAAGUAGCACUACAAGCUAUGAAAUCUCUACUCUAGGUUCCCAUUCUUGGCAAUAGGAGAUG
rnacentral:lncRNA from 1 species